rnacentral:lncRNA from 1 species
UUGCUCAUAGACAAUAGAAAAAAUUGGACCAAAAUAAUUUAAGAGUUUAAAUAAUACGACAAAAUUAAGUUAAAGGAGUUAAUCAAAUGCUCACAUAGUUUAGAAGUAUAAAAAAUAUAAAAUAAAUAUAUAAAUAAUAAAAUUUGUUAUAUGAUGUGGGUUAGGGACAUAUGCAUAAUUUGUCAUCAUCGAAAAUGGGAAAAUUGUUGGGGAAUAAGAGAACAUGAUGUUUGUAGUUUUGAUGAUUGACAAAGAGUUUUGAUAUGUGACAAAGUAUUGUUUAUCAUCAUCAAAAAUGUGGAAAUUGUUGGGAAGUAGGAGAACAUAUAAAGUAGUUUUGAUGAUUGAUAAAGUGAACAUGGUUCACUAUUUGUUUGUGUACUCUAUCAGGUGAACCAGGUUCCUAGAUAUGAAUGCAGUCAACCUGUACAAAUAUGAGAGAUUGCGGCAAAGAAGAAAAAUAUUAAAGUACAGAAAUAAAGAAGCAAAAAAUAAUAAUAAAGAAUUAGCUGAAACAAAGGAGCAAAGAAGGAAAGAAAUAAAAAAAUACCAAUUCAAAUUGAAGAAGGAAAGAAAUAAAUAUAAACACGUCCUUGGUAAAAAAGGAAAGAGACACACAAGUUCAAUAAGGAAAAGGAAUAGUUUAAAGUAAGUAAUCCUAGUAGGACUAGACUAACAGUUUCACCGCGUUACUUUUUUUCCCUCUUAUAAAUAAAGCCAGCGGCAAUUCCACCCUUCCCUAUUCGUCCCUCUUCUUUAUUCGGCCUCCGUGUUCACCGCAAAUUUCGUCCUUAUUCCGCCUCUGUGUUCACCGGUUUUCAAAUUCGUCUUCCGCUAUGUCUGUGAUGAUUGUGACAAGUUUGGGGGACAUGGUAGUUGAUUUGUUUACGGAUGAAUGUCCUUUGACAUGCAAAAAUUUUCUGAAAUUAUGCAAGAUAAAAUAUUAUCAUAAUUGUCUCUUUCAUACCGUUCGGAAGAAUUUCACAAUGCAGACGGGAGAUCCAACUGGAACAGGAUCCGGAGGGGAUUCGAUAUACAAAUUUUUAUACGGGGCUCAGGCACGUUUUUUUGGUGAUGAGAUUCAUCCAGACUUGAAGCAUUCAAAGAGGGGAACUGUUGCGAUGGCUAGCACUGGUACUGGUGAGAAGAAUCUAAAUGCUUCUCAGUUCUAUAUCACGUUACGUGAUGAUCUCGACUCCCUUGAUGGGGAGCAUACUGUUUUUGGAGAGAUUACAGAAGGGUUUGACACAUUGAAUAGGAUAAAUGAAGCUUAUGUGGAUGACAAGGGCAAGCCUUAUCAAAAUAUACGAAUCAAACACACUUACAUAUUGUAUGAUCCUUUCGAUGAUCCUUCCCAGUUAGACGACUUGAUUCCAGAUGCUUCACCUGAAAGAAAGCCGAAAGAUGAGAUUGAUGAUGAUGUUCGACUAGAGGAUGAUUGGAUGCCAAAGGAUGAGGAAUUAGGUGUUCGUGAAGAGAGGGAAGCACACUCCCGAGCAGUAAUACUUGAAAGUGUAGGAGACAUUCCUUAUGCUGAGAUGAAACCCCCUGACAAUGUGCUCUUUGUUUGUAAAUUAAAUCCGUCAACUAAAGAGGAAGCACUAUAUAUAAUCUUCUCACGCUUUGGAACCGUGACAUCUGCUGAAAUUAUCAGAGAUCACAAGACUAGGGAUAGUCACUGUUAUGCUUUCAUCGAGUUCGAGGACAAGGAGUCCUGUGAGCAAGCAUAUUUUAAGAUGGAUAAUACUAAAAUUGAUGAUCGAAGGAUACGAGUUGAUUUUAGUCAGAGU